CUGCUUGAGGCAUUAGUCUAAUUUAAUAAUGUGUUGCAAAGCAUUACCUUUACAAGUAGUUAGGGGUGAUAGGCCAAGCAAAAAUUAUGAUAUCUUGAUUUUGGGGAAAUUUAUUUAGUAAUUAAGCGAACUUGGAGUGAUAAGGCUUUAAGUUAAAAUUAAACCUUGAAAUAUACGAUCAUAGCUUUAACCGGUAGUGUAUAUAAUAUUAACUAUCAUUGAAAUAUUCAAGUUAUUUAAAGUACCUAAUUAUAAAACUGUUAAAUUAAUUUAUAAUGUUAACAUAAGUAAAUAAAUAGAUUAACGGAAUGAACUCGGCAAACUUACCCUUCGGCUGUUUACCAAAAACAUAACUGUAUGAAUAUAUGUGCAGCAUUUUCUGCUCAAUGAACAUUAAAUAGCCGCAGUACUCUGACUGUGCAAAGGUAGCAUAAUCAGUUGGCUUAUAAUUGAAGUCUAGAAUCAACGAACACACGGGGGGUUACUGUGUCCUGUUUAAGUGCUGAAAUUAUUUAGUAAGUGAAAAUGCUUACUUGAAAAUAAAAGACGAGAAGACCCUAGAAAUUUAAAUUGUAUUUUGUUGGGGCGACAUGGUAGCAUUAAACCUACAGUAGACACAUGAAUUUCAUUAGACGUAAGAUUAAUUACUCUAGGGAUAACAGCAUAAUUUAGAAAAGUUUGUGACCUCGAUGUUGGACUAGGAAAUUAAGUUUAGACGACUAAGAUAUUGCUCUGUUCGAGC
rnacentral:rRNA from 1 species